AACUUGAAAUGAGUGAUAAGCAUCACUGCUCUGAUUCUAAUUCUGCGCUUUCGAGGAAAAUAAGGCACAAAUAUGAGAUAUUACCUGACAUAGCCUUGACUUUGAACUCAUUCUUUUUCCUUGUGAAUUUAAAGAUGACAAACUCAAAAAAGAUCUUUAUGGGUUGGUGUGGAGCAGCAUAAUCAAAUCGCUUGCAUAGAGUAGCCUACCUAGU
rnacentral:lncRNA from 1 species